GAUGAACGCUGACAGAAUGCUUAACACAUGCAAGUCUACUUGAAUUUGGGUUUUUUAACUUCGAUUUGGGUGGCGGACGGGUGAGUAACGCGUAAAGAACUUGCCUCACAGUUAGGGACAACAUUUGGAAACGAAUGCUAAUACCUGAUAUUAUGAAUAUAUGGCAUCAUAUAAUUAUGAAAGCUAUAAGCGCUGUGAGAGAGCUUUGCGUCCCAUUAGCUAGUUGGAGAGGUAACGGCUCACCAAGGCGAUGAUGGGUAGCCGGCCUGAGAGGGUGAACGGCCACAAGGGGACUGAGACACGGCCCUUACUCUUACGGGAGGCAGCAGUGGGGAAUAUUGGACAAUGGACCAAGAGUCUGAUCCAGCAAUUCUGUGUGCACGAUGACGUUUUUCGGAAUGUAAAGUGCUUUCAGUUGGGAAGAAAAAAAUGACGGUACCAACAGAAGAAGUGACGGCUAAAUACGUG
rnacentral:rRNA from 1 species